rnacentral:sRNA from 1 species
AAAACAGUAAGAAGUAAAGAAGGCGUUACAACUACGAAGCAUUCUUGUAUAGAACGUGGUAGAAAGUGCAAACCAUGGUACAAACUGCCAACGGAUGAACAAGGAAUAUAUGAGUCACCUACUUCUACUAAUUUACAGAUCCUUGUGAUCCUAGAGCUCGACAGACCACUAAUACAUCGUGUUGCUCAGGAUCUAGUUCACUGUACUUGGU